rnacentral:rRNA from 1 species
GGGAGUCAGUGACAGAUAAGUGCCAUUGACAAGAGGGAAACAACCCAGAUCGUCAGCUAAGGUCCCUAAAUUACAGCUAAGUGGAAAAGGAUGUGAGUUUGCAUAAACAGCUAGGAUGUUGGCUUAGAAGCAGCCACUCAUUAAAAGAGUGCGUAAUAGCUCACUAGUCGAGUGAAUUUGCGCCGAAGAUAAACGGGGCUAAGCUGUAUACCGAAGCUACGGAAUCGAAAGAUUGGUAGGGGAGCGUACUGUAAGCAGGAGAAGCAUGAUCGCGAGGACAUGUGGAUGUAUCAGUAGUGA